rnacentral:lncRNA from 1 species
AUGAUGAUUUUGAAAAAUAGAAUAAUUGGAGACCACUUGUUAUGAAUUAAAUUUAUGAAUCUAAUGGCUUAUGACAGUAUUUGCAUGAAUGACUGAAUUGGUAUUGGUGUUGAAAUAUAUAAAAUGUGUAUUUAGCCUUGAAAGGCUGUGAAUUAUAAUAAUUGUCAUGUCAUGCUAGAAUGAAUUUUAUUGAUUGGUGGAUUAUAUAUUAAUUAAUCACUGCAGUAGGGGGUUUCUGUGGAUCAGCCUUUUAGAGGGGCACGGUAUACCCCAUUAUAUUCUUACCUCAAACGGAGAGGCGUGUAGGGUAUCUCUUGGGGUAAAGCUUAGGGUUCACUUCACGCCAAACCACCACGUGAAGGGAAACUCAGUCAACGCCAAGGAACGGC